CCUACGGGGGGCAGCAGUGAGGAAUAUUGGUCAAUGGCCGGAAGGCUGAACCAGCCAUGCCGCGUGAAGGUCAGUGCCCUAUGGGCGUUAAACUUCUUUUGUGCGGGAGCAAUAAUGGUCACGUGUGGCCAGACGAGAGUACCGUACGAAUAAGCAUCGGCUAACUCCGAGCCAGCAGCCGCGGUAAUACGGGGGAUGCAAGCGUUAUCCGGAUUUAUUGGGUUUAUAGGGUGCGUAGGCUGUGAGGUAAGUCAGCGGUGAAAUGCCCCCGCUCAACGGGGUGAAGUGCCAUUGAUACUGCCGUGCUGGAAUGCGGAUGCCGUGGGAGGAAUGUGAGGUGUAGCGGUGAAAUGCAUAGAUAUCACACAGAACACCGAUUGCGAAGGCAUCUCACGAAGCCGCGAUUGACGCUGAUGCACGAAAGCGUGGGUAUCAAACAGGAUUAGAUACCCCAGUAGUC
rnacentral:rRNA from 1 species